CUCUCGGUCGUCUAGUUGGUUCAUGGCGUCCGACUGUAAAUCAGAAUGUCGCUUGUUCGACUCAUGCCUGAAAGA
rnacentral:tRNA from 3 species